UGCGGCUUUCCCCCACCCGCCCGACCCGCUGCCCUCCUGAGCAGUGGGCCCCAGGGUGUGGCUGCCCUGCCGGCACCUAGCUCCGGGUAAGUUACGUCACUAUACGUCACUGUAUGGCCUCACCGAUCGCGUCACUGCAAAUGGAAAGCUCCCCGCCGUGAUCGCCCGGGCGCCUGUGGUGGAGGCAGCAGUGGCCUAGUCCAGACUCGCUGGAACCCCAUCGGCUACUUCUGCGAAGUGCAGGAAGGUUCUCCAGGGACUGGGACCAGAAGGGUCUGAGUGCGCGGUUAAUGUUCCUAGGCAUGGAUGAGAUCAAUCAGAAAAUAUAGAAGAAACAAUACAGAGGACCAAAGAUAGAUCCCUGGGAAGUACUGAGUUUAAAAGGCAGUGGCAGAUGAACGGAAGCCCACAAAGUCUGAGGAACAAUGGCCAGAGAGAUAAAAGAACUAGGUGAUGUGAAUUACAUAACUGGCUGUUUUCUUCUUUCACUCUGACUGCCAAGAAGCUCUGAGAAAUUUGUGGCUCAGCAUUAGUAACUGGAAGGACCCUUGGCCUGCAUAUCUGUAUUCUGUUG